UACGUAGGGUGCAAGCGUUAAUCGGAAUUACUGGGCGUAAAGCGUGCGCAGGCGGUUUGGUAAGACAGAUGUGAAAUCCCCGGGCUUAACCUGGGAAUUGCAUUUGUGACUGCCCGGCUAGAGUGUGUCAGAGGGGGGGUAGAAUUCCACGUGUAGCAGUGAAAUGCGUAGAGAUGUGGAGGAAUACCGAUGGCGAAGGCAGCCCCCCUGGGAUAACACUGACGCUCAUGCACGAAAGCGUGGGGAGCAAACAGG
rnacentral:rRNA from 1 species